AAGGUUAGGAACGAAUGUAAUGUCACACACACUACACUAAACAAUUCCCAUAUGUUAUUAGUUGAUUAAAGGUCCAGCUAGUUACUGUUGAUUAAAGGUCCAGCUAGUUACUGUUGAUUUAAAGGUCCAGCUAGUUACUGUUGAUUAAAGGUCCAGCUAGUUACUGUUGAUUAAAGGUCCAG